GUGAGGAAUAUUGGUCAAUGGACGGAAGUCUGAACCAGCCAUGCCGCGUGCAGGAAUAAGGUCCUAUGGAUUGUAAACUGCUUUUAUUCGGGAAUAAACCUCUUUACGUGUAGGGAGCUGAAGGUACCGAAGGAAUAAGCACCGGCUAACUCCGUGCCAGCAGCCGCGGUAAUACGGAGGGUGCAAGCGUUAUCCGGAAUCAUUGGGUUUAAAGGGUCCGCAGGCGGGCUAUCAAGUCAGAGGUGAAAUCCCACAGCUUAACUGUGGAACUGCCUUUGAAACUGAUGGUCUUGAAUUAAGUGGGCGUUGGCGGAAUAUGACAUGUAGCGGUGAAAUGCAUAGAUAUGUCAUGGAACACCGAAAGCGAAGGCAGCUAACGAUACUUAUAUUGACGCUCAUGGACGAAAGCGUGGGUAGCGAACAGGAUUAGAAACCCUGGUAGUCC
rnacentral:rRNA from 1 species